rnacentral:lncRNA from 1 species
AUAGGAUUGAUGGAAUCCUUAAUUGAAUAUGAUUAUGAUACUUGACUUGGAGGCUAAGAAAGUAAAGUUUAGGUUUCCUUUAUGGAUGGAAACCCUAGCUUUUAGCCUAUAUAAAACACCAUUCCCUAUAAGCCCUAGAACAUACAACAUAAUGCUUCCCAUAAAGUAGUUGUAUCCAGCUAGGAGUUUGAUAGGGAUUUUACUACACACGUAAACGGGCUAAAAACUCUUAUAAUACUUGCAAGAAUUACAAGGUUGUUGUAGUAUAAACAGAUCUCGCAAGGUCGUUCUCCACAUGGAUUAUUAAAUAAUUCAAAGCAAAUCAAAUUCCAAUUAAUUAUUGUAAAGUAGAAAUUAAGAUGAUUGAUUUUAUAAUCUACUUAAAUUAAAAAUGAAUUUAAUUAAUAAAAGUAAACUAAUAUGCAAUAUAAAAGAUGAAAGAAAAGGAACCAGUUUUGGAGAAGUCAAAUUAAGAAAGCACUAGGGAUCCACCAUCACCUAGCAAUCCUAUGAACUUUUAUCAAUUACCUAUGAUCUACACAUGCCACUUUGAAGGUUAGAUCCUAAUUCAUAUUCUACUUGGAACCUCCAACAUAGAACCUAUAUCUAACAUGCAACCCGUCUGAAUGUUUGGAUCAAAUCUGAACAUGAAAGACUCAUUAUGUUUUAUGAAAACCAUUUGAAAAACCAUGCAACCCUUAAGACGUGAUGUUCAUCCUAAGUGAAAUUACAAUUAUUAAUCACAAGAAGCCAGCAUCAAUUUCAAGGAACCUUCCAACCAAAAUUGCAUCAAAUUACUUUUCUAAAUAUCCUAAUGGUGAUCAGGUAUUAAGACAAUUAGAUAGUUUUAAUUCCGGUGAUUAAUAAUUCAAAGUAUGCAUGCAAUCAAUCAUAAGCAAUUAAAUUAAAAUCAAUCAUAAGCAAUUAAAUAAAAAUCACAUAUUCAAGCUAAGGCUCAAGGCUUCGCCCUAGCAAAAGAAAUUAGUUACGCAUAUUCAUAAUUAAAAUCAUAGAAAAUAUUAUUAAGAAAAGGAUUGAAAACACCUUAAAGUAGAAAAUCUCCAAGAACCCUAACUAUUCUCUCUGUCUCCAAAGUUGCAUAAAAGAAAGCGUAGAAAAAAAUAAAGAACAGCCAAGCAAUAUAUUUGUUUAGCCAUCCACAAAUCCUAAAACAUAGGUCGCUUAUUCCAAUUAGGAAACUAAGAAAAAUAAUAAUAUAUCUUAGAAAAUAAAACUCUAAUUAAACUAGGGGAAUCUGCCAAGUACUUGUCCAGCCACGUUUUAGCCUCAGAUCUUCUCCAAAUCCGGUCCAAGAUAGCUUGUUUUAAAGAUUAGGAUGUUCUGAACAUAUCAUCCGAGAUCAUCUUGGGCUCCAAAAACGCAAUUUAAGCCUAGAAACGUCAUUUUCCAGUACCGCGCAUUUCUUCUUUAUUUUAUCGCCAAACAACAACCACUUGGUGGAAAAAUCCCAAAUUUUGAUACGAUCAAGCUAAGUAACUCACGAACAUCCUCCAACUAGAAUUACUCCAAAAUUCGUCCAUUUGGUCCUGUUUUGCUCCAGAGGAAGUCAAAAGUUCUAUAUUGAAAAUACAAUUCAAAGCAUCAAAAUUCUUCCAAAAUAUUUACCAAAAUAUACCAAGAAUAGGGUAAAAUAUAUAAUAUAAAAUCUACUCAUCAGAGUUUAAAGAAGAUCCUAGUGUUGACGCAUCCUUCAUCUUCUCCGUUUGAUCUUCAAUGGCUAUCGCUUCAUGAUCAGGUUAGCUAACUCCUUCGUUUGUGUUUUAAUUGUAUAACCUCAUAAGGCUAACAAUAGGUAUCAGAGCUUCUAGGUAUAUAAUUAAAACCUAUUAAGUUCGACGGUACAUAGAGUCGUUUUACAAAAUACAUAAACUGAAUUUUGGUCUUAAAUUCAAGUAUGAUUCCAUAUCCUUGGUGUACUAAUAUGAUAUGUUCAGCUAUAUUCUAUGAUUAGUUCCUUUUGAUCCUAAAUUCAAGUGUUAGUUAAAUAUUAAAAAAAAAUCACAGAUAGAGGUCGGUUAAAGAGCACAGGCCGACGGGGCUUACGAUUGUGUUGUUCAUGGUAUCAAGAUUAUUUCUUACUAUGAAUUUGGAAAUUUUUAUCAGAUAUAGCUAUAAACCGUGUUUCAAUCCUAUAAUCAUAUUGGAAUUUGGAGAAGCAUAUAUAUAUAUAUAUAUAUGUAUAUCGUGCUAAUAUGUAAAUAUUUUGCAGUAGGAUCCAACACAUGGAUUGAAGUAUAAAAUUUAUAUGGUGAUGAUUGCUUCGAAUUCCAACAGUUUUCCAGAUUAUACCCAUUAUAAUUACAUAUAAUGUAUGGUCAGAUUGAUGACAUUUUUAUGCAGGCCCUUUUGCAUAUAAUUUGUUUUAGUUGAACCACCAAAGUCUGGAAGUUGCUAGUAUUUUGAUCAAGCAAGCACAUGUAAUUUUUAAAAGCCAAUAUAUAUGAUUAGUCAAAUUUGAUUACCACCAAUAGUUCUGAUAAAGGAAUGAUAAAGAAAAUUUGAUUAGUCAAUUCAUUGGAUUAACUAGGAUUGAAAACCAAGGAAUAUUUCAGAGUUUUUAUUCCAAUUUUAAUGCUAAUAUUUUGGUUGACCAUAUACUGCUUAUGAAUAAGUUGAAGCCAUGAGGUUGGGGUUCCUCUUUACAUAGCUAGCAGCAGCGGCCUACCAUGGCACCACCUCAAGGGUUUCAAGGCGGGCUCUAUUAUAUUACCACGUGAUAGAACUUCUAUGUUAGGUGCGUCCAAGGUGGACAGCGACAACGGCCCAAUACGGGUCAAUGCCUAAGGUCACAAGUUCACGUGACAGAUCUCAGCAUAAGUAUAGGUUAUAUACAUUUGUAAUCUCAAGUUUUUAUAAGCAUGUGUACGCAUUUGCAUGUGUACGCAUUUACAUUUGUUCUAACCUUGCAUUGGAGAAUUUCUUGAGAUUCCUCCGUCGAGCAAGCCCAAUGGGGAAGGUCAUCGGCAUAUGAGCUCCUGGUAUGAUAUUUCCUUUGGGUCUUCAUGAUAAAUUAUAUAAGGAAUGGUUAAGUUGGAUUCAUGAAGUGUUAUAUUGUUCCCGCAAAAUCCAACCAUGUCGUGACAUCUUUCUGAUUGUAGGAGAUGGAAUUAGUCAUAUCCUAUAAUUUAUCAUUACUAUUGGGAUAUGUUGUGCCUACCUAUGAUUGUGAUAACAUAUGUUAAAGUUGUGUUGCAGGAAUGCAUAUACUAAGUUUACAUAUGUCUAUAUUUGAAAGCAGGUCAAUAUAAAAUUUUGGCAAUUUUUGUUAUUGCAUCUAUAGCAUCACAGAUAUGUUUCAAAGAUGUGUAAGGUGACACAAUUUCUUCCAUGACCGUGGCAUAUGAUAAAUUGUAACUAAUUUGCUUGAACCAAAUUUUUAAUAUUGUUAAGAAAAUGGCAUGUAUAGUGUUGCUUGUAUGGCUAAAGCAUGAGAUAACAUAUUUUUAAUAUUGCUGUGGGUUUUGGACUAUAGUGAAUUGUAGUGUUGUUUCCACCAAUUCUCACAAGAUGUGAAUGAACUUUUAUGCUAUUAAUAGCACACGAAAUGUGCGUGACUAAUCAAUCAGGUUUGUCUACAAUUUUGCUUUCUUAUCUCAGUAUAGUCAUUUAAAUUAUACAUGACUAGUUAACUGUUAAAAUUGAUGCAUAAUUUGUGGAUUGACUGAGAAUGACAGAAAGCAUCCAGUGACAAGAACAAGGGUAUUAUACAAAUGAAUAAGGUUUGUAGUAAUUAUGGGACAAUUCUCAUUUGUAUUUUAUAUCUAUUCUUAUAUGAGAAUUUUGGUUGGUCAUGUGAUUAUAUAUAUGUUUACAAAGAAGUGGUGAACAUAUGAAGGCAUGAGGUAUGUAAUCCAUUCAAAGUAUGUGGCUUAAUUGAUAAGCAUGAAUUUCAAACAUGUAUUAUUGUUUGUGGUUUUUCCUAUGCCUUAAGAAUUUAAACAGUGCUUUGAUUAGUAAAUUUUUAUGUGUCAUAAGGGGAGAAGAAAAGAAACUUUUCAAGGCUAAUGUACGGCACAUAUUGGAGAUGUUUUCUAUGGAAGAAAAUAAUUUUGGUUGUUCCUUUUAUUUAAUUUAGUAUUUACAAAGCUAAUGCAUGAUUUUAAUGCUAUGUUUAGUAGUUUUGUACUAUGGAAAGAAAUAUAUAAAAAGGAAAGGAACAUGUUUAACUUAAGAAAACAUUUGAGCAAUUUAGUUUUUAAGUAAUUGACUCCAUAAUGAUAAGUAUUGACAUUCUUGUGGUGGAAUGAAACUUGUUCUAUAUGUGAUUAAUCAAGUAUGCUGUUAGGUUUUUGAGAUUAAUUUAAUGUCAAAGGGAGUCAUGAAGGAAUUAGUGCCAUUUGUUGGCAAGACUCGAAGUUCGAAUCUGGUUAUCAUAAUUUUGUCACUUACAGUUAAUUAAUCCAUGUGACCUCUUGUAUUGUUUCAGGACGGAGUUGACCAAUGCCUUUUCAACUAAGCAAGACACAAUGCCUUAGUUGAUGAUGGGACUAUGUUUUUGAGUUACUUCGGUCAACUUUGCUUCUUAAUUAGAAUAAUAGGGAUUAUCUUCUUACCUACAGGUGUGGAUUAGUUCUUUUAGUUUAAUUAAGAUGGCAUAGUAUGGGUUUUAUUUCAUCGAAGUUGUGAAAAUCUUCAUCUUGCCUACAAGUGUUGAAGUUUUUUAUGAAGGUACUUUUGUGACAUAAAAUCUAGUACUAGAAACUAGUUAAUUUUCUUGCCUACAUGUGUAAAUUAAUUUAGUUUCAUGAAGUUUAUUGGGAUAAAGUUCCAUGCCAUUAGUGACAAAUAUUUCCACAAUGAGCCCCAUAAAAGGUUGUGGUUUGAAGGCAUGGAAAUCGGUUGCGUCAUGACGUAUUUUGUGUCUCUUCAUGAGACUUCUUGAUGCAAAGUAUUGGACCCAUGAAGGUUAAUCAAGGAUUGCUAAGGUACGCAUUGUUUAAAUCUUAUGCUUGUAAAUCUUUUCAAUUUGAACUAUGAUGUUAGUUUAAAGGAUGAAAUUUGACUACUAAAGUUUCCUUUGGACAUCAAAAUUGAAAUGAUAUGAAAUUGAAUUUGUUAUGGAUGCUUAAAUUCAUGAUAGAUGCAUAUAAUUGUUUCUGGCAGAUUGAGUGUCUUGAUUUAAAUCGGGUGAAUGACACGUCUAAUGGUCACCAAAUGACCUGAAUUUUGGAUAUGUUCAACAUAUAAAUGUCUACUAUAUGUCUGCAAAUUUUCGUAAUUUUCUGCCAUGUAUGUUAAUUAUGGUGAAUUUACUAGUAAUCCAUGCUCGUAUAGACAGUUUUACCGGCAGAUUGUGUUGGUCUUUUUGAGACGUGACUUUAGACUACUAUUUUGACCCAAAACGGCUCUAUAUUUUUAUUUUAUGAAGAUUAGUAUGUCUGUUUUGAUUAAUAUAAAUUUGGUAGCAAUCAAGCUUAUAAAUUAAUUAUGAUUAAUUCUAAAGUAAGUGUAACUCGUUGCUGAAAUUCUGUUUGACAACUUUAUGUUAGUUGUAAUGUCUAUUUUAUUAUGUCCAAAAUAUAAAGCAGUUUUAUUUAGGUACAUCUUUGAAGGAGUGUUUGCCCAAGUGGGAGAAUUAGUGAACGAAAAUUGGGCUUCAUACUCAUUAACUUAUUUGCAAGUAUAAACUUUGCAAAUUUAGUGGGAGUUGUUAUAAAAUUUCGAGCAUUAAGUGGGCUUGCAUGAAUCUAUUAAAGCGUUAUUCUAUCUCCCAUGAAUUUGUGUUACUCGAAUGUCUAUAAUAUGUUUAAGUUGCACGAAUAGAUACUUGGUAUAUGUGUAGAUUUUUCUGUUACUUGCAAUCAUUUGGAUUUCUCGGUUGAUCAUUUGUUUUGGGGCUCAUAAGGACUUAGAAUAAAUGUGGACUUAUUAAUACAUAUAAGAUGGUUGUUGGAUGCACGUUUUUUGUGUAAACAGCAAGGAAUGCUUUCAUGCUUAGUUGUACCUUUCAUUGAGGUAAUAUGCAUUCAUUGACUAAGUAAGGCUAUUCCCAAAGGCAUAUAUUCAGAAGUAUGAUUUAAGUAUUGAUUUGCAAAUUAAGUAACGAUAUUGCAGAUCAGUGGGAAAUUAAGUUUUGUGUUAGUAAUGCCUUACAUUUGCAGAUGACUUAUAAAGUAUGUAUAGAAUUCAUGUAUUCAUAUUAAUCUCCAGUUGGAUUCAUUAAGUCACAUUUUUUGUGUGCUAGUCAAUCAUUUGAUGAAAUAUAUAUCAGAUAUCAAGUUGUUAUCAAAUUACAUAUUAAAUGUCAUGGCAUGGUUUGUGCGCUACCUCAGUUGUUAGGAUUUCCAUCUUGCCCGCAGGUGUUGGAAAUCAUUAAGAAAGUAACUGGUAUGGUGCAUAGAUCAGUGUCAAAAACAUAUUAAUUCAUCUUGCUCACAAGUGUUGAAUUAAUUUGUUUUAUGAAGUUUUUGGGAUAUUUUACUUGGAUAUGUGCCUAUUUGGUAUUUUUAGUUAUGUCCGUUGGCUACAAACAUUGUUUGUAUUGUUAUUGAUCUAAUGAAAGUGAUGCAUGAUUGUUUUGGAGAUGUGUUCAUACCUGCAGGUUAUGGUGGUUUCAUUAGAUGAAGGAUAUCUGCAUUGGCAGAUUUAAGGUUUCGAAGAAGCUUAAAGUGUAACGUAUGAGUUACAAUAAGGUGGACCUGAGAUAAUAUAAAGUAAGACAUUUUGGUUAAUUUAAAGUUUCAUCUCUUGAUCAUAAUUUGUGUUUCAUGUGAAUGAGGAUCUUAGCAUGUGUGAUUAUGAAGGUUCUGGGUUGUGUCAAUCCUAAAACCUUGUUAGUUCCAUGUUAAGAAAUGCAUUUGACAGAAGCUGCAUUAAGAAUGAGAUGUAAUCACUGUUACAUGGCCACUAAAGUGACAUUAAUCUCUAAUCUCAAGUAUAAACAUGAAUAUUAAAUUUUGUAGACCAAGUGGGAGAAUGUUGGAUUUAUCCAAUAUAAAACAACCUUUAAGUGGUCUACUACAUGUAAUAGGAAUAUAAUAUUGGAGAAUAAUGUUGAUUGUGAUUUGAUCUCUUAAAGAUAUCAAUCCUAUAUAAGGUGUCUUAUAUUGGAAAUAGGAUUGAUGGAAUCCUUAAUUGAAUAUGAUUAUGAUACUAGACUUGGAAGCUAAAAAAGUAAAGUUUAGGUUUCCUUUAUGGAUGGAAACCCUAGCUUUUAGCCUAUAUAAAACACCGGUCCCUAUAAGCCUUAGAACAUACAACAUAAUGCUUCCCAUAAAGUAGUUGUAUCUGGCUAGGAGUUUAAAGAAGAUCCUGGUGUUGCUGUAUCCCUCAUCUUCUCUGUUUGAUCUCCAAUGGCUAUCUCUUCAUGAUCAAGUCAAAUAACCCAUUCGUUUGUGUUUUAAUUGUAUAACCUCAUAAGGCUAACAUUAAGCUCUCUCUACAUACCCCGCAUAACCCAUAUCACCCACACCACUAUACCAUUCACCAUCUCCACAAUUUGUGAAGAAGAGCUUAGGGACGUGCUUUGCCAUGCACUCCGAGUUUUUUCUUUUAUUUUUUCUAUGUGUAACUAAGUUAUUUUCUAAGGUUUAUGAUGAAGCCAUGACAUGAAUAUUUGUAAAGUACUUUGUUAAUUAUUAUCUGAUUAUAUGCCAUGUUAUAUUCUUAAUUUUUGUGGGUAUUUUAUUCUAGAUUCGGAUUUCUAAUGACUGAUCACCUUUAAGAAUUUUGCAUCUAGAUAAUUAGGUAAAUCUAUGAGGAUGACCAAUCAAUUAGGUUUAUUGGAACUAAGAUUAAGAAGAGCAGACAAACUAGUGAGGAUGACCAAUAUCAAGCUAGUCCUACUUGGUUGACAUGAUUCUUUUACACUUAAUGGGUUUUAUGUGUUUAAUUGUAUGCCUAACCAAUAGGAUAUAAUUAUCAUGUAGAGAUACAAGAGUUGAUGCCUAACCAUGGAUUAAUUCAUACCUUAGAAAGAACAACCUUUAACAUUGGUAUUAUAAUUGAAUAGUAGUUGGCUCUAGGAAAAGUAAAUAGGAUUGUUAUUGGUGAAUUCAUAACCUUAGGUUUUCUUGUGUCGUGUGUUUAUUUUAAUUAAUUGUCUUUUAUUUUUCUUGUUAAUUUUAGUCUUAAUUGAUUACUCAGUAAUUGAACUCAAUCUAUCAUUUGUUUGUUUAAUUAAGUCUAGCGUGAUUAAUCGCUUAAAUUGGUGCUAAAGCAAUCCAUGUGGGAUCGACCUCGUAUUUGCAUAUAUUACUACAAUUGAUUUGUGCGCUUGCGAGUUUAAUUUGAUUUAAAUGAAUCUAUUAUUUAGGUUAGU